rnacentral:rRNA from 1 species
UAAUACGUAGGGGGCAAGCGUUGUCCGGAAUCAUUGGGCGUAAAGCGCGUGUAGGCGGCUCGAUAAGUCCGCUCUGAAAGCCCGGGGCUCAACCCCGGGAGGCGGGUGGAUACUGUCGAGCUCGAGUCCGGAAGAGGCAAGUGGAAUUCCCGGUGUAGCGGUGAAAUGCGCAGAUAUCGGGAGGAACACCAAUGGCGAAGGCAGCUUGCUGGGACGGUACUGACGCUGAGACGCGAAAGCGUGGGGAGCAAACAGGAUUAGAUACCCUGGUAGUCCACGCCGUAAACGAUGGACACUAGGUGUGGGGGGUGUCGACUCCCUCCGUGCCGAAGCUAACGCAUUAAGUGUCCCGCCUGGGGAGUACGGCCGCAAGGCUA